rnacentral:rRNA from 1 species
AAGUCGUAUAAGGUCUCCGUUGGUGAACCAGCGGAGGGAUCAUUAGCGAGUCUAACUCUCUAAAACCAUUGUGAACGAACUGCCACGUUGCUUUGGCGGGGUCAAACCCGCCGGCAGAACGCAAACUAUGUUAUAUUUGUUUCUCUGAGUAUACUUUUAAUAAGUAAAAACUUUCAACAACGGAUCUCUUGGUUCUGGCAUCGAUGAAGAACGCAGCGAAAUGCGAUAAGUAAUGUGAAUUGCAGAAUUCAGUGAAUCAUCGAAUCUUUGAACGCACAUUGCGCCCGCCAGUAUUCUGGCGGGCAUGCCUGUUCGAGCGUCAUUUCAACCAUCAAGCCCUGUGUUGUGUUGGGGGCCUGCGGCUGCCGCAGCCCCCUAAAAGCAGUGGCGGGCUCGCUGUCAUUCCGAGCGCAGUAACUUAUCUCGCUUUGGUCGUGGCGGUGGGCACCUGCCGUAAAACACUCUUUUUCACAAGGUUGACCUCGGAUCAGGUAGGAAUACCCGCUGAACUUAA